CACGUAGGGCGCAAGCGUUGUCCGGAAUUAUUGGGCGUAAAGAGCUCGUAGGCGGUCUGUUGCGUCCGCUGUGAAAACCCGGGGCUUAACCCCUGGCUUGCAGUGGAUACGGACAGACUAGAGGUAGGUAGGGGAGGAUGGAAUUCCCGGUGUAGCGGUGAAAUGCGCAGAUAUCGGGAGGAACACCGGUGGCGAAGGCGGUUCUCUGGGCCUUACCUGACGCUGAGGAGCGAAAGCGUGGGGAGCGAACAGG
rnacentral:rRNA from 1 species